rnacentral:rRNA from 1 species
UACGUAGGGUGCAAGCGUUGUCCGGAGUUACUGGGCGUAAAGCGUGCGUAGGCGGUCUUGUAAGUCUGGUGUGAAAUCUCCCGGCUCAACUGGGAGGGUGCGCCGGAAACUGCAAGGCUGGAGUAUGGGAGAGGUAGGCGGAAUUCCUGGUGUAGCGGUGAAAUGCGUAGAUAUCAGGAGGAACACCUGUGGUGUAGACGGCUUACUGGACCAUGACUGACGCUGAGGCACGAAAGCGUGGGGAGCAAACAGG